rnacentral:rRNA from 1 species
GUGCCAGCCGCCGCGGUAAUACGUAGGUGGCAAGCGUUGUCCGGAUUUAUUGGGCGUAAAGCGAGCGCAGGCGGUUUCUUAAGUCUGAUGUGAAAGCCUUCGGCUCAACCGAAGAAGUGCAUCGGAAACUGGGAAACUUGAGUGCAGAAGAGGACAGUGGAACUCCAUGUGUAGCGGUGAAAUGCGUAGAUAUAUGGAAGAACACCAGUGGCGAAGGCGGCUGUCUGGUCUGUAACUGACGCUGGGGCUCGAAAGCAUGGGUAGCAAACAGGAUUAGAUACCCUGGUAGUCCAUGCCGUAAACGAUGAGUGCUAGGUGUUGGAGGGUUUCCGCCCUUCAGUGCCGCAGCUAACGCAUUAAGCACUCCGCCUGGGGAGUACGACCGCAAGGUUGAAACUCAAAGGAAUUGACGGGGGCCCGCACAAGCGGUGGAGCAUGUGGUUUAAUUCGAAGCAACGCGAAGAACCUUACCAGGUCUUGACAUCCUUUGACCACUCUAGAGAUAGAGCUUUCCCUUCGGGGACAAAGUGACAGGUGGUGCAUGGUUGUCGUCAGCUCGUGUCGUGAGAUGUUGGGUUAAGUCCCGCAACGAGCGCAACCCUUAUUACUAGUUGCCAGCAUUUAGUUGGGCACUCUAGUGAGACUGCCGGUGACAAACCGGAGGAAGGUGGGGACGACGUCAAAUCAUCAUGCCCCUUAUGACCUGGGCUACACACGUGCUACAAUGGAUGGUACAACGAGUUGCGAGACCGCGAGGUUUAGCUAAUCUCUUAAAACCAUUCUCAGUUCGGAUUGUAGGCUGCAACUCGCCUACAUGAAGCCGGAAUCGCUAGUAAUCGCGGAUCAGCAUGCCGCGGUGAAUACGUUCCCGGGCCUUGUACACACCGCCCGU